GAUAAGGCCCAGUGGCAAGGCAGAGGCAUAGGUCUUUGUCAAAAUUGAACAAGACAAUCAUAGCUUUUUCUUUGCCCACAGCUUCAAUAAUUGAUCAGUCUUAUGCAAAGUUAGACUUUUUUAGUAGUUUGGCAGUCUCUUCUGAAAGGAAUAUUUCUAUACAGUGCUUUUUUUUUUUUAAGUACAAUAGAAGAAAGCUCUUUAUUUUUAGCUGGUGAAAUCUGCCGUUCUAGAGAGGUUAGCGAUAGGCAGCUGAUUAUGGUAUAACGACCUGAGUUAAUACAGUUUGGUUUUGUUAUUAAGUAACCAAUCUGAAACCCAGUAAAGUAAUAAUGGUAUUUUCCGUACUUACCCCAAAAGCUUUAUAAGUGAGUUAUUUGGAGAAAAAAUGUUAUUUGCAAAAGAUAGCAAGAUUCAGAUAGUGGAAAUAGAUAGAAGUUAGCCUUGAAAUCCUGUUUUUCUAAUCUUGACGAGUUCCUGUGCACCGCAAGUGAUAACCCUUGAGAAUCAGAACUUCUACUUGAAGAAGAGCAAACCUCUAGAAAGUUCAGUUUAGGUUCUCUGUUUUUCAAAACCAUACCUCUGUUUAAUCUUCUUGAUGACUGAUGUGUGAAGCACUCCUAAAAUAAAAUUAUGCUAGAGAGCUGAGAGAAAUAGAUGGAACUGAAUAUCUCCCAAAGAUUCAUUGGUAAAUUCGUACUGUCUACAGUCAGAAUUUUGCUGAACUUUAGUACCUUUGGGAGGUUAAACGUCUUUGUAUACAAGUACAGGAAGCAUCUGACAUUUUAAGAUGGGAAAGCGCUUAAAGAAAUAAAUCAUAUCCGUACAAAGGAAUGUAUACAUAACAGGAACUGGGACGUAUAAUAUACAGAGAUCCACGAGACAAUGUAUUGGAUGCACAUCUUUAUAUGACAUACAGACAGGAAGGGAAGUGAAUAACCUUUUGAAUGACGGAUUAGCCAAAGGCUCUGAAGAAAAGACUGCGAGAAUUGUCUGGCCCUAGAGAACAAGGCAACAUUUACUUAAUACAUCUUCAUUGAAAAAGGAAUUCAAUAGCUUCUUUAAAUCUUUAUGCUGCCCUAUGAAAGACGGAUCAUUUUUAUCAUUCUUAAAGUACCAAUCUACUUUGAAAAGUGAGGUUAAAUAUAGUUUAUUGUGACUGACUCCAUGUCCCUUUUGUUCAGCUUUCAAGCAAAGACUAGAUGGAAAAGGCAGUUCUUCCAACUCCUCCUGGGCUGGGAAAGUCAAAAUUCUUUCAGGUUCACGCAUCUUCAGUAAAACAGAUUUUACAGCUUCACCUAAGUUAAUAAUUCUGCUGAUAAUACAAAGGCUGGUAUCGUGAGCAGCUUACUCCCUUACAGCUGUAUUGGCUGUGUCUUGUAAAAGAGCUGUAAAGAUGUAUUUCUUGUCAGAAAAGUGAGCAGAACAAAGACAGGAAACUGUUCUCGUUCAGUGAAAAGCUGUUACUCCAUUUUUAUACACUUUCUUUUCUGAAUAUAGCUGGCCAACAAGUUGUGCAAAUGAUAUCUGUGAUGGCUUGUUGCUACCUUACCCAACACUGCACGUGGCUCCCGGGCUGUGGGAUGGAGGGAGGGAGGCCCAGCCCCACCGUGGGAUCGGCCCUCAGGUCCAGGUUCGCGAUAGGGACGUAUCUCAUGUUGGCCAGCGAGCCCAUGGGGAGCGCCGGCUGCCGCAGGGCGUAGCGGGUGAUGGCACCCAGGCUUUUGGCACUGCACAGCCCUGCGGCUUUCCCCUGGCUUCCCAGGAGCUGGGAAGAAGCCGUGCCCAGUGCCACAUUAAGGACUGUGGGAGCUGCCAGCAUUGAGACAUGUAGGAAAGAAAGGGAAAGACAUUAUCAAUUCACAAUAACUUUGUGUGAAUAACUGGCAAUUAUUUCAUUAUAAGUUUUUUUUUUCUUUUUGUAGCAUUAUGACACCGUAUGUGGCACACCACUAAAGACUGAAAUUUGGCUAUCAAAAUGGUUUUAGGAGUAGGUCUACGGAGACUACAUCAUUGUGCUAGCAGGAUAUAAGAGAUGUCAGUAAAUUAUUUCAUUGUGUAGAGGCUCCCUGGUAACAUCAUCCUGAUGCCAUUAGAGCCUGCAAUAAACCACCAUACACAAAAGACUUUGUUUCUCCCUCCCCGUGACAAACUCCUUGCUCAUCUACUUCUGCUGAAUACUCUUAUUCUUUCCAUGAUCAAUCCAGCUACUCAACUUCAUCUAAACUUUCCCUUCCCAAAUAAGGUACUUCUUUUUUUUUUUUUUUUUCUACAGCAAGAGAGAGAUUUAAUUUCACCAUCUAAGAAGCCAAGAUCCUCAUUUUGACUUCAAGUGAAAUAAACUAAAAAUAACAUUAUGCUUAAGUUGCUUCUUGUGCUAUGUCCAGCACUCUGCCUAUCAAGACUGAGUUCAGUGAUAUAGAAGUGCUCAACUCCAUUGAUGCCACGGCUGUGGCUAGGAUCUGGUCCGGAAGGUUCAGCGAUUUUGAUUAACAGAGACUUGUUAAUCUAAACAAAAACAGAUCCUGGAGAUACUUAAAUACUGGGGUAUCUGAACAGGCAUAUGAGAGGUUGCUGUCUUCCUAAAUAUGAUGGAAGGAGAAUACCAGCAGAGGAAACAGCCCUUGUGCUGCUUCAAUAUUGUGACUUGCAGCUUGUCUGAAAGCAUAACAAAGGCUUCAUUGUGCGAGUGCCCAGCUGAUCCAACAAGCAAUGAAUAAAGGUUUUCUGUUUAUCGGACAACGAGACGCUGAAAACACCGAAGUCUCACUGCUGUGCCUACAGCCAAAUCCAUCGAUUUGGGUGGGAGCUGCUCGGGCUCCUAGCGCAAACACCCAGAGGCGGAAGCUCGAUCGUGCUCGCAGCCAGAGCUGCCAGUCCGGUGGGGAGCUGCUCGUCUCCGAAAGCUGCCUGUGUGUCCGCGCGCUGCGCUCCCCUGCCCCCACUUCCAACACUUCUCUAAGGCGGCCGCACUCUGUAAAAUGCAAUAUCCAAACGGACACUUUUCCACCCGAAAUCGUCUUGUUCUGCUGCUUGAUUUCAGGCGUGCGGUUGGCACUAGCUUUCUCAAGGAAAGAUGUGCUUGCUUUCUUUUUCCUUUAAAUGCCUGUCAUUUUCUGUUUUAUUCUGAAGGCCAAACGUUUUUCUUCUAAAAAGAAAAAACAGGAAAAGCAAGAUGUGAAUAGUAGUGAUUUAGGAGUAAUAGGAACUAUGUU